rnacentral:misc_RNA from 1 species
CCAAUAGCGUAUAUUAAAGUUGUUGCAGUUAAAAAGCUCGUAGUUGAAUUUCAGGCCUGGCUGGACGGUCCGCCCUUCGGGUGAGUACUGUCUGUGGUCGGGUCCUACCUUCUGGCGAAGCGUCAUGGCCUUAACCGGCCGUGGCGGGGAACCAGGACUUUUACUGUGAAAAAAUUAGAGUGUUCAAAGCAGGCAAAUCGCUUGGAUACAUUAGCAUGGAAUAAUGGAAUAGGAAAAUGGUUCUAUUUGUUGGUUUCUAGGACCGUUGUAAUGAUUAAUAGGGAUAGUUGGGGGCAUUAGUAUUCAAUUGUCAGAGGUGAAAUUCUUGGAUUUAUUGAAGACUAACUACUGCGAAAGCAUUUGCCAAGGAUGUUUUCAUUAAUCAAGAACGAAAGUUAGGGGAUCGAAGACGAUCAGAUACCGUCGUAGUCUUAACCAUAAACUAUGCCGACUAGGAAUCGGGCGAUGUUGAAAAAAUGACGCGCUCGGCACCUCAUG